rnacentral:rRNA from 1 species
GACGAACGCUGGCGGCGUGCCUAAUACAUGCAAGUUGAGCGCUGAAGGUUGGUACUUGUACCAACUGGAUGAGCAGCGAACGGGUGAGUAACGCGUGGGGAAUCUGCCUUUGAGCGGGGGACAACAUUUGGAAACGAAUGCUAAUACCGCAUAAAAACUUUAAACACAAGUUUUAAGUUUGAAAGAUGCAAUUGCAUCACUCAAAGAUGAUCCCGCGUUGUAUUAGCUAGUUGGUGAGGUAAAGGCUCACCAAGGCGAUGAUACAUAGCCGACCUGAGAGGGUGAUCGGCCACAUUGGGACGGGGACACGGCCCAAACUCCUGCGGGAGACAGCAGUAGGGAAUCUUCGGCAAUGGACGAAAGUCUGACCGAGCAACGCCGCGUGAGUGAAGAAGGUUUUCGGAUCGUAAAACUCUGUUGGUAGAGAAGAACGUUGGUGAGAGUGGAAAGCUCAUCAAGUGACGGUAACUACCCAGAAAGGGACGGCUAACUACGUG